UAGACGUUAGCUCCGUGGUUAGAGCACAGGCCUGUGGCUCUCGGGCCUGCGAGUUCGAGUCUCGUCGUCUAG
rnacentral:tRNA from 1 species